UCACUCCAUCCAUGGGUCUCUUACCUGGCUCCCGCACGUGCGAGCUCGGGUUUCGAGGUGGUAACUGGUAAAUAGGAUCACCGGAUGGAGACAAGGCGGAGGAGGUCGGACCCACGAUGUCGGCAUCCGAGAUAAGAUCCCGGUAUCUCGGUCAAAUAGUCAAACCACUGCACCCCAAUCAGCUGAUGCCAGGUUGCCAC
rnacentral:lncRNA from 1 species